GGAUGUCCUGGGCUAGAAUACACCACGUAAUCCCCACCCGCCCCCACCCUCAGCUCUCCAUCUCUCUGCAUUAGGACUGGGACCUGGCCCUGGCUAGCGCUGUAGGAUCCAUUAUUCCCAUCCCUAAUCCCAGUUGGGAAGUAGAACAUUGGGGAUUAGCGUGUGUAUGUGUGAUUAGUCCCUGCCUGCUCCUCCAUGCUAACCUUGGCCUCCCACCCCACCCUGCCCUGCCCUGUACUGGACUGUCUCAUCCCAGCUAGCCUCAGAGCUGAUUGGGCCAACAGUCAACACGUAACCCAUUUAGACUAUAAAUUGUCAUUUACGUAACCCUCUCCCUGUCUCUGUCCCAGAAUGUCACCCUAUUUACAUCCGUACAGUACACAGGACAGGUGUUUGUGUGUGUCUCGAGGUGUAUUUAUGGAGGUCUAUAAAGCUGCUUGUGACCUGAUUGUUUAUCUGUGGAAAAUGUUGUUGUUCUUCUUAGAAGGCUAUGUGAAGUUGCUUAAUAUUAUUGUUAUUGCAGCUCUCUGUUAGCCUCUCUCUUUCUCACUCUCUGUCUCGAUCUCUCACUCUCUCUGACACUUUGGUAAUGCCUGCUAUUUGUGGCUGCUGCACCAUUUGUUUGUCAGUGUGUUUGUGUGGCAUUCUGGCUCUGUGUACUGUCUGUAACAGAGGUAUAGCGCUGCCGGAGUGCGGAGGAGCGGCACGCCCUCACCUUUUUCAAUCUGAGAAAUUGAGUACCACAGUAUAAGUCAUAAUACCCAUAAAACCUAGUGGUAAAACCCGGAAAUGGUUCCAAUUUUUCCGUCAGGAUUUUAGAACUAUUUCACAUAAGGUCUGUGUUUUGUGUAGGCUUACCCUGGCCGUGACAUUUUGAAACCGCGCAAAUCUCUCUCAGACAAGGUCACUUUUAUCAAUAUAUUCACCUGUAAUCACCCCCCAAAAAUGAAAUGCUAAUUAGCCGCUAAUGUGGCUAUCAUACAGAACUACACAUCCUGUCACAAGCUUUGACGUCAUCCCUCAAGGCACAUUUCUCCAUGCAAACUCAUCGACAAGUAGCAAGUAACUUUUUAGUUUCUUGUGUAAAUAAUUGUUAUUUCUCAUGUGUAUUCUUGUUUAGCAUUUUUCAAAUUACCUAGCUAGUUACUUUAGUAUUUUUUUAUUACUAUAAUUGUUUUAAUUACCCUGGCCUUUGUAGCUAACUAGCUAACCUUAGGUCUCUUCGUUGAUCAGAAGAAAGGAUGGUUCUGUGCUAUGUACCGGAUUGUAACCACUACUCUGAUAAGCACAUGUGCAUUUUAUAGUUUUCCGACCUCUGUAAGCGAGAAGCAUCGCUGGAGCUGUGUGUUAAGGCUCACCCCACGAGAAGCAGUGCAUGAUCAAUGCCACCCUCAGCAAGGAGAUCUGCUGGAAGUGAUGUUGUCACUCUCUCACUCUUGGGGUACAGGCAGGGAUGACUGGGGCCUCCAGCAAGUAAGACACAGUGGGUAAUGACAGGAGGAGCAAUAUGAGUCUGUCACGUUGGAUGGGAUGGUGAUGGAGGCUUUGGUGGUCCACAUAACAAAGAAGCAGGUGUCUCUUCCAGUGAUGUGGAGCUGACCUUGGACCUGGUGCCAGUAAGGAUGGUCUUCACG